rnacentral:lncRNA from 1 species
GGCGAGGAGCACGCACGCGAUGUUCUCGAGGGGGCAAUCUGCGUGCAUUGCGAGUUUUUUCCAAUGAAAAAACUCAGUUCUCGUUUGUCUCUCUUUUCAAGUAAAGAGGGGCAGCCAUCUGCUUCCCGCGGUUCAGGACCCUCCGCUGCUGAGGCACGGAGGAGAAUGAGCUCGUGGGGAUCUCAGGUGGACCUGGCCGAUGAGUUUAGAGAGGGACUUUCCUUCUCGCGCUCAUCGGCGGGGGGCGAGAGACAGCCACUGGAGGAUGAUUUUCUCUCUUUAACAUCAUCUGAUCCAGGGGCCAGUGCUCUGCUGGGUUCAGCCCAGGAAGAGCAGGAAAUGGAUGAUGAGAGCGAAGAAGCUGAGGCUGAGCCUUCUCAAUCCUCCUGCCCUGCGUAUGAUGAGCUCUUAGAGGUUAUGGAUCGCGCCACGGCAAGACUUGACUUGCCAUGGAAGCGGACUAAGGAAGUGGCGUCGCGAGGUCGUCUCGACGAACGUUAUCUUUCUGGCCAUAACCCUCCAGCUCAGGUGAGUCUCCCUUUCCUUCCUGAUCUCCAUACUGAGAUCGAGAAGGAAUGGAAGAAGCCGUUUUCCUCACGCAUCCAUCGGUUUCAGCAUACCAGUUAUGCGAAUAUCGAGGCGGUGCGCGAAAACGGCUAUGAGAGAAUGCCCCCUGUAGAAGAGACGCUAGCUAGCUAUCUCUCUAUGGGAGAGACAUCAUCUCUCAAAACUCCCUCCUUGCCAUCCAUGCCUCUUCAAGCUACAUCUAAAAUGAAUGGCAAGGCAUACGCAGCAGCAGCAGGUCAGGCUGUUGCUUCACUGCACACGAUGGCGGUGCUCCAAGCAUACCAGGCUGAUCUGCUGAAAGACCUGGAUAAAGGCGAGGGCCUUUCUUCUGAUGAGAUGGCUGAGUUACGCCGCACCACGGAUCUUGCUCUUCGUGCUACUAAGCAGGCUGCCUCUGCCAUGGGCAGAUCUAUGGCAGCGAUGGUAGUAACGGAGAGGCAGCUGUGGGUAAACCUGGCAGACAUCGGGAAGAAAGAAAGGGGUUUUCUUCUCGAUGCCCCGGUUUCGCCCUCUGAACUUUUUGGUACAUCCGUUGAGACGGUCAUCGAAAAGUUCAGGGAGGCGAAGGCACGCUCAGCGGCCUUCAAAACCUUCAUUCCACGAAGGUCCAGGUCUGAGCCCGA